rnacentral:lncRNA from 1 species
UAUAAAUCAUUCAUUUGAGAAAACAACAACCAAAAUGUCACUUGGAACCACCAGACCUUCUUUGGAAGGUGUAACCUUAGGUUCUGGAAACAUGAAAUUUUAUAACUUGAAACAUGUAGUUCUGUCUCCUAACAUUAAACUUGAGUUCAUGUUACAGAUCUCAUCCUUUGUCAAGUGACUUCAUUCCUCUGGAAAGUUUGUUCUAAGGAUCUUUACAGACACCAUCAAGGAACUUUUACAUCCAUCCAACAUAGCCAUAAGACUAUGAAACAUGAUUCAGCUCAAACAGGAAGUUUUGGUGGAAUUACAGGUGUAAUUCUCCGAGCUGAUCUUCAAGAUGUCCCUUGCCAUGUAAGACACUGCCCCACACUGUGCUUCUGGGAAGUUCCAAGACAGACUAGGUGUUCCAAGUCCUUGUCCAAUACUCUGCCAGGACCUGGGCCAGCCUUUUGGGACUUUAAGGCAAAAGUUCAGCUUACAAGAAAGGACAUAAAAGUCCUAUGCAUACCCAGGGGACAGCCAUGCUCCUGCCUGGCCAAAGCCUGGCCUCUACUGCAUGAUGAAAUCUCUCUGCCCAGGUCCACUGUCCAUCUAAUGAGCUAUCUGAAUCCCACAGAGUCCCCUGGGGGUGACGCAGCCACCGGGCACAGGGAACAGAGGACAAGGGAGCAUGGCAGUGAGCCGAGUCCACUCAGAAUCUGCCUGAGGCUCACAUAACCCACAACGCACAUGAUUCUGCUAAUCAGAGCGGUUGGGCUCACAGAUCACAGAGGGCUGACUGCAAAAACUGUCAGCUCACUCCCAGGCCCUCCCUGCUCUACCAGUGCCCUAUCCUCACCUGCGGGGUUAGCUUCACAGCCCCUGGAUGUGAUGAUCUGAGUCACCACCACUUGUGUGUCUGGUCUGGACCCCACCUCUGAAUUCUAGAAUCUCCUUGGAACAGUAACACGUGUCUCUAACAGACUUUCAAACUUAACAGAUCCAAGCUGGACUCCCGAGGCCCCUCCCCUCCUCUUGCUGCACCCACAUUUUUUUUGGCAUCAAUAAAUACCGGUCCCACUCCUCUAUUUGCUCAGAGUAAAUUCUUU